rnacentral:lncRNA from 1 species
AGGCCCCCUAACACCUCAUUGUGAGUUGGAACAUUAGUGAAGCAGCAACAGCAGCCUGCUAGACCAAGCCAAGAGGACAGAGCUGGCAUAGACAUGUGCUGGCUUGAGGAGCCUACAGACUCACCAGAAAGCAUAAGGAAUCAUUUUCAGGAGCUGCAUUGGGACUGAAAAGUAGGAACUUCUCAAUUGGCAUAUCAGCUCCUGGCAGCAGCUUCAUUCUACUUCAGAGAAGAUUAUGAGUGAUGGCCUAUUACCUGAGGCAGGAAAUAGGAAGAAAGAAUUCCAGCACAGAUAGAGGAACUCUGGGAUAAAGUCAAGCAUGGAAACAGAUGUGCCCCAAUGUGAGGAGCGGGUUUAAAAUCUCUUCAGCACUUUGAAGAUUCAUUUACAAAGAAUAAUGGAUACCACACACAUACAAAGAAGGCAGCGUUCAUGUCUGGUACAUGAGAAGACAACCCACUGUGGAGAUGUGCCAAGAUGGUUGCACACCACUGAGAUAGAGUCGCUGGCUGAACCUGGAACUCAGCAAUUCUACUAUUUGUCUCAUAGAGGAACCCCAGGAAUCCCCUGUUUCUGUGUCUCCAUUAUUAGGAUCACAAGUGUAUGUUGCUGGACCAGACCUUCUUUCCAAGAAGGUGGUAGGGAUCUAACAUGAGAUACCAUGAUAAUACAGCAAGUACUUUGCCAAGUAUGAAAACUGGAAAGUUCAGGACCAAGGCACCAUCUGCCUCAGCAUAUGGACAGAAUAUUUGAAGAAACAAUUAGGGAAGGCUGAAAGAAGCUGAGAAGUAGGACUUCCCUGUAGGAAGACCAGCAGUCUCAAUUAACCUGGAUCCCCGAGAUCUCUCAAACACUGAACUACCAAACAGUCAGCAUAUAUGAACUGAUAUGAAGCCCCAACACACAUACAGUAGAAGACUGCCAUGGCAGGAGCCUAUGCCUGCAUUCCCUGACACUGGGUGAGUCACUCAUUCUACAAAACUACUCCCACCCCAACACUACUUUCUGGUCAGCCAUAAAGAUGCUUGUCAACCUCCAUUGCUGAGCCUGCCUGCUGUCUAGGACUCUUUUUCUAAGUGGCACCAAAAAUUCUGUAUUUCCCCUUCAGAGGACAAAGCUGUCUCUUGGAUGCCGUUUGAUUGUUUCUCUGGGGAGCUAAAGGUUUGGAAGAAUAUAAAAGAGAGAUGUAGAUUUCACAUAAAUUCCUCUCUCGGGAAAAGGUCAUUGAGCCCAGAAGAAGGAACAAACUACCUUGUAAAACUCAUCAUUAAACUCAGUUUACUUAGUCCCAGGGCACUAUUUAUGGCAAGUCACUAAAAUAAACAUCAAUAAUAAUGCCUAUGAAAAUCUUUAGAAAUGCCUUCAAAUGGAUGAUGGUUAGAGAUACAUCUGGCAGAAAAAUGAUUUCAACUUAUCCAUGUUAAAAGUUCAACAGAAAUAAAGGAAGAGGGGGCCUCUGAUGUUCAAUCUCUUCAACAGUUAAAAUAUUUAAGAAGUGCUGAAGGACCCACCUCAGACUUGUUUGUUUGGCUGCUGUGGCAGAAGUUUUAGGAACUGAAUCCAUAGUCGGCUCAUGCUGUAUGAAAUGCUAAAUAAAUAGAGUUCUCAGGCCAGAAGAGUGCUCUGAAGUGAGACAGUGACCACACAUGGUGGAUAACAAAAUGAGCAAAAUAUACAGAAAAACAAAAGAAGAAACAAAAAUUUACUACCAUGAAAGAUAUCCCAAGACAAGCCCAAUUGUUUUAAGACAUCACUUUGUCUCAGUCUUGUCCACUAAAGCCAGACAGACAGUAAUUCCUGGCGCUCUGUGACUCUCUUCCCAGCCUUGCAUAAGCCCAGAUUUAUGACUGCAACAUCAAAAGUGUUUCUUGAACAGAAGCUACUGUGUUUCCUCUCCCACUAGGAACACUUGGAUGCCAAGAAGCGUUCUGAUUACAGCAGUAUGGACCUACCAAUAGAGACAAUGGAUGCUUUCAGUACCCUGCCAUGUAUAAGAUACCUCCCCCAAAUAAAAUAG